rnacentral:rRNA from 1 species
UACGGGGGGGCCAAGCGUUAGGCGGAAUCACUGGGCUUAAAGCGUGUGUAGGCGGAUCGUUAAGUGCCUUGUGAAAUCCCCAGGCUUAACCUGGGAACUGCAUCCGAUACUGGAUGGCUUGAAUCCGGGAGAGGGAUGCAGAAUUCCAGGUGUAGCGGUGAAAUGCGUAGAUAUCUGGAGGAAUACCGGUGGCGAAGGCGGCAUCCUGGACCGGCAUUGACGCUGAUGAGCGAAAGCUAGGGGAGCAAACGGG